CGCGAGGUAGAGGCAUUUGGUAGCUCGCAAGGCUCAUAACCUUGAGGUCACAGGUUCAAAUCCUGUCUCCGCAA
rfam:Amborella trichopoda AMTR_V1.0_contig_31700, whole genome shotgun sequence.